UGGGGAAUAUUGCACAAUGGGCGCAAGCCUGAUGCAGCCAUGCCGCGUGUAUGAAGAAGGCCUUCGGGUUGUAAAGUACUUUCAGCGGGGAGGAAGGGAGUAAAGUUAAUACCUUUGCUCAUUGACGUUACCCGCAGAAGAAGCACCGGCUAACUCCGUGCCAGCAGCCGCGGUAAUACGGAGGGUGCAAGCGUUAAUCGGAAUUACUGGGCGUAAAGCGCACGCAGGCGGUUUGUUAAGUCAGAUGUGAAAUCCCCGGGCUCAACCUGGGAACUGCAUCUGAUACUGGCAAGCUUGAGUCUCGUAGAGGGGUGUAGAAUUCCAGGUGUAGCGGUGAAAUGCGUAGAGAUCUGGAGGAAUACCGGUGGCGAAGGCGGCCCCCUGGACGAAGACUGACGCUCAGGUGCGAAAGCGUGGGGAGCAAACAGG
rnacentral:rRNA from 1 species